AUUUAAGUAGUUUAAUUGAAAACUUUGAUUUGUGGUGUCAAAUAUGUAAAUAUAUUUACCUUAAAUU
rnacentral:tRNA from 1 species